rnacentral:rRNA from 1 species
UUGAACUGAAGAGUUUGAUCCUGGCUCAGAUUGAACGCUGGCGGCAUGCCUAACACAUGCAAGUCGAACGGCAGCACAGGGGAGCUUGCUCCUUGGGUGGCGAGUGGCGGACGGGUGAGUAACGCAUGAGAAUCUGCCUGGCAGAGGGGGAUAACCCGGGGAAACUCGGGCUAAUACCGCAUACGCCC